rnacentral:rRNA from 1 species
UACGGGGGGGGCAAGCGUUGUUCGGAGUUACUGGGCGUAAAGGGCUCGUAGGUGGCCAACUAAGUCAGACGUGAAAUCCCUCGGCUUAACCGGGGAACUGCGUCUGAUACUGGAUGGCUUGAGUUUGGGAGAGGGACGCGGAAUUCCAGGUGUAGCGGUGAAAUGCGUAGAUAUCGGGAGGAACGCCAGUGGCGAAGGCGAGUCCCUGGACAACACCUGACACUGAGGCACGAAAGCUUGGGGAGCAAACAGG